CCACAAGGCGUGUGCCUCUCUGCCACAUCCCGAGUGAAUUUGGGACACACACACUCACACACACACACACACACACACACACACACAAGGCGGUGCUGGGCAAUGGCUGAGUCUCCUCUCUGGAGCCUGCAGUGCUUCCCUGGGCCAGCCCCCAUUCCAUGCCCCUGCCCCAUCCUCCCCAAAGGUGACCCCCAGGCCCAGAACGAAGUGACUUGGUUGUGACCUCCACCCCAUGGGAAUGCAGAAGGUGCUUUUUCUUUCUCUGAUGUCCUGGCCACCUUGUCUGGUAGUCACUGAGCCUCCAGGCAGCUCAUACAGCUCCAGCCCCCAGGUGCGCAGGAAACAGUCAUUAGACCUCUGCCCCGAGCCUGAGUGAUCAGGGGCAGUUUCGGGGCCAUGGGGAGGCCACCACAGGUCGCUUGACCUUCAAGAGCUUGCGGCUGGGUCCCCUGAAAAGCCAUACAUCGACACUCCGCCCACUUCCCCCCAACCUGCCCCCAUCCCUGGAGACUAUUGCCAAAUGUUGUAAAGACUGGUCACCAGGUUCUCAGAAGCAAUCUGUGGUUCUAGCAGGUUCUACCCCAUCUGUGUGUGGAUGUCCAGUGGUUUUUAUUUCUGAUUAAAAAAAAAAAAAUUCCAGGUGUGCCACACCCACUUUCCUGCAGUGUUUUAAUAUCGUGUGGAAUUGUUACUACCUAGUGAAUUAAUAGAUCG
rnacentral:lncRNA from 1 species